rnacentral:lncRNA from 1 species
UUGUCGUCGUCGUCGUCGUCGUGGUUGUUGUUGUUCUUGUUGUUGUUUUUGUUGUUGUUGUUGUUGUUGUUGUUGUUGUUGUUGUUGUUUUCAUUGUUGUCUUUGUACUCGUCUUUGUCGUUGUUGUCUUCAUUGUCGUUGUCGUUCAUGUCAUCGUCAUCGUCAUCGUUGUUGUUAUUGUUGUUGUUGUUUUUUUCUUGUUGUUGUUGUUAUUGUUGUUGUUGUUGUUGUUGUUGUUGUUGUUGUUAUUGUUGAUGUUGUUGUUGUUUUUGUUGUUGUUGUUGUUGUUGUUGUUGUUGUCGUUAUUGUUGUUCUUGUUGUUGUCGUUGUCUUCGUCGUUGUCUUGGUCGCCGUCGUCGUCGUCGUCAUCGUCGUCGUCGUCGUUUUUGUCGUCAUUGUCAUCAUCG